UACAGAGGGGGCAAGCGUUAUUCGGAAUUAUUGGGCGUAAAGGGCGCGUAGGCGGCUUUGCAAGUGACGGGUGAAAUCCCUCGGCUUAACCGGGGAACUGCCUGUCAAACUGCAUGGCUUGAGACCGGGAGAGGUGAGUGGAAUUCCCAGUGUAGUGGUGAAAUACGUAGAGAUUGGGAAGAACACCAGUGGCGAAGGCGGCUAUCUGGACGGUUUCUGACGCUAAGACGCGAAAGCGUGGGGAGCAAACAGG
rnacentral:rRNA from 1 species